GUUAGUUACUGGAACAUAAAUCCGGUAAUUUAGUGUAAUGUAUGCCAAUAUGCGUUCUUAUCAUAUAACAUAAAUGUUGAGCGGCAACACUUUGUUAGCCGAAGUCGCAACACUUUGUUGUUAUGCCAAUAAUAUACAUAGGGCAUUACCUUUGUCACUCAGCGACAGCGUGCCAAGUUCCCACAACCAUUUCAAAGUGCUUAGAGCCGAGUCAGCAUGGAUCCCAUACUGAGCGCUUAUAUACAUAUGUGCUCUCUCUCUGCCCUUUUAACAUAUUGUUACUUUACUUAUAUAUUAAAUAUAUAAAACGGCUGCUCUGCCGCUGUGCCGACAGCUAGCAAGCCUGAGUCUAAGAGCACCAAGAUUCAUUCAAGUAAAGACGAUAAAAGCACCCACAACCGAUGGUCUAGUCAAUUUAAAAUGCGAUUGUUCCAAAAAGCUUACAUGGAGACCGUGACAAGUGUGACGAAGAGCAGCGAAGAGGCAACUGGACUCAAAAGCAUUCCACCUCUGAAAAGUUUGGCAACAAAACAAGGCGACGGGAAGAAAUAAAAAAAAAGGAAGACUGACUACUGCCGAAAAGACCAACAGUCUGCCCUACCAACUGCCCCGGACCUCUUUACUCUGCGGCAUGCAAAUACGCAUGCAUAAAGCCGAAGACCAGUGCAAGGACCGACACCGGCCCCGCCUAAGCGAAUAGGGCCCAGAUAUCAGCAGCACAUCAACAAGCGAAAGGGGCAACCCGCCACUUUCGCCUGCGAAGAAGCGUCAGUGCAGCCAACCACCAUGACGACCAGCUGACGCAGAGGAUGCGGAUCAUCAGUAUAUAUUAGGUCUAAAUAUUUCCAUUUCCGCUCGUUUAGAAGUGUAGCCUGUAAAGCUAUACGAAACUAAAAGUAGGAUACAUGUAAAAGAAAACAAAAUAAAGAUAUAUAAAGAAGGCCCUUAUAGAAUAGAAGAGGAGUAAUUCGAUAAGUAAAUUCAGUGAAGAAAUACCUGAUAAUUACAAUUAUAAUUUUAACAAAACAAUAAUGGCUAUAGUAGACGUUAAGUCAGUGGAUUCCACUGCUAAUGUAAUAAAUAAAGUUGAACCGAAUAA